CACUGCUUCAAUCAUUCAAUGGCAUUUACUGAACUCUUACUAUGCUCAGAGCACUGUACUAACUGCUUAGCAAUCUACUAAACUUGGCACUAAACUACAUGGAUCAAAGUUUGCACACAGGGUCUAACUUCUGUGACGGUCAUUAUGUGCAGUCCUGAAUUUCAUUUACGGAGCCACAGUCCACCAUUUCUGCCACAGAUUUCAAUUUGAGGACUGGUGUCAGCAUAGAUGCCUAAAGUACUGCCAAACUUAUUUCUCAACCAACUACUGAAAGAAAAUCCUGAAAGAAGCCAUCUAUGAGGAUUUCAAAAAUGAACAGCGUUUUCUUACCUAUUGAUAUUCCACUGGAAAGAGUUGAGCUCUCAGCCUGCCCCCGGGAUGGUGCGUGGGGCUCCAUGACACUGUCAUCCAAUAGAUGCCUUGGUCCCGCAUUAGGGAAUGUUGCGCUUUUAAAUUCUGCUGUGUUCAUUUUGUGAAUAAAACUGGAAUGAGAA